GACGAACGCUGGCGGCGUGCCUAACACAUGCAAGUCGAGCGAAUGAAGUUCCUUCGGGAAUGGAUUUAGCGGCGGACGGGUGAGUAACACGUGGGCAACCUGCCUCAUAGAGGGGAAUAGCCUUCCGAAAGGGAGAUUAAUACCGCAUAAGAUUGUAGUAUCGCAUGAUACAGCAAUUAAAGGAGCAAUCCGCUAUGAGAUGGGCCCGCGGCGCAUUAGCUAGUUGGUGAGGUAACGGCUCACCAAGGCGACGAUGCGUAGCCGACCUGAGAGGGUGAUCGGCCACAUUGGGACUGAGACACGGCCCAGACUCCUACGGGAGGCAGCAGUGGGGAAUAUUGCACAAUGGGGGAAACCCUGAUGCAGCAACGCCGCGUGAGUGAUGACGGCCUUUGGGUUGUAAAGCUCUGUCUUCAGGGACGAUAAUGACGGUACCUGAGGAGGAAGCCACGGCUAACUACGUG
rnacentral:rRNA from 1 species